UCCAUGUGGCUGGUGUUGCACGCCUGGAUCUAUCUUCAUCUAAUGUUUUAUUAGAUGCAGAGGAUAAUAUACGCAUAUCUGAUUUUGGCUUUGGGUAGGUGUCAACUCAAGUCAACAAAGCCUUUUCCUAAUUUUUUAUUUUAUUUUUUCUAUUUAUGUAUCUUUUUAAUUUUUUAUUCAGUAAAUAAGUGCGGUAAAUUUGUACAAUGCAGCUCGACUAUAUGACCACCAAACGAAAGUUGACACCGUGGAUGAUAUAUUCAGCCUUGGUCUCAUUUUUGCUGAGAUUUAUAAACAUUUGCUCACAGAGCAUGAGAGGUCUGAGCUUUUACAAAAUCUGGGGGAGAAGAGAGAUUUUCCAGAAAUCUGGAUUAAUGAAGAACACAAGCAGUUAAUGCAAAAAGUAUCAUCUCUUCUUGCUGGUUAGAGCUCAUCUCCAAGUGGAAUGCGGCAGCAACAGCAACAGGUUUCUUCUAGUUCAGAUAAACAAGAAAUACAAACUCUUGGUGACAGUGAGGGUAAAGAGCCUGAUGUGAAGAAAAUGAGGUUAUAGUGUUAUAGCAAGUGUACUGUGUAAAUAACAGGGGGACUAUUCUUGGUUGAGCUUAAGAUCCUCCUUUAGAAUAGAAUUUGUUUGAAACUGUUUUUGACUGUAUAUGACAAUGCAAUUGUAUAUAGAAUAAGGUUGGAGGACUGCUCAAAAUAUUACCCUUAGUCAAAGAGAUGAAUUUGUGAAGAUAUUCUUAGUUACCAUACCCAAUAAUGACCAUAAAGUUGGAAAAAGAUAAAAGCUUCUAUCUUCUAUUUCUGUUCACUUCUUUGGAGCUUUGGCUGCUUCCAGAUU